CACGUCUCGUCUGUCUGAAAGAAAGGCUUGAUGCAGUCCAACGGUUCAAGUUGAUCUUUGCUGAAGUUGGUUGAUGAAAAAGAACCAGUUUGCAACAGAGAAUCUU